ensembl:snRNA U6 U6 spliceosomal RNA
CUGCUUGCUUCAGCAGCACAUAUACUAGAAUUAGAACAACAUGGAGAAGGUGAUCAUGGCCCCUGUGCAAGGAUGAGACACAAAUCUGGAAAUAAAAUUAUGUUUUC